rnacentral:lncRNA from 1 species
UCAGGGCUAGGCAGGAAAAAAUAGCUCUGCAUGUGGACAAAGAAUGCUGCAAAUGAAGCGACUCAAGUGGUUUACUUAAAAACUUAAAAUGUGCAAAGAUCAGUCACUAGAUUAGUGUUACUGGGGGUUUUAUCUUCCAGCGGGAAAAUAUUUUUUGUGCUUGUAUGAAGCUACUUUGUCUAUUUAGAUUUGGGUGUUUUACAGGAGAGAUUAAAUGUUAACCUUUGAAGCUAUUGGGAUUAUUCUUUUUUGUGGCGACCCCAAAUCCGGGUACUUGCAACCCGAACUCGGUUCUCCACGAU